rnacentral:tRNA from 1 species
GCCGACAUGGCUCAGAUGGUAGAGCAGCGCACUUGUAAUGCGCAGGUCCCCGGUUCGAAUCCGGGUGUCGGCUCCA